UAGGGAAUCUUCCACAAUGGACGCAAGUCUGAUGGAGCAACGCCGCGUGAGUGAAGAAGGUUUUCGGACCGUAAAGCUCUGUUGUUGGUGAAGAAGGAUAGAGGUAGUAACUGGCCUUUAUUUGACGGUAAUCAACCAGAAAGUCACGGCUAACUACGUGCCAGCAGCCGCGGUAAUACGUAGGUGGCAAGCGUUGUCCGGAUUUAUUGGGCGUAAAGCGAGCGCAGGCGGAAGAAUAAGUCUGAUGUGAAAGCCCUCGGCUUAACCGAGGAAUUGCAUCGGAAACUGUUUUUCUUGAGUGCAG
rnacentral:rRNA from 1 species